AGAGGACCUGCUUGUUUCAUUCCUAGUUCCCAAGUCGCUUACAAUCAUCUGUAACCCCAGGGCAGAACCUCUCAUUAUUCAUCUCUUUCCUGUGUAGAUUCCAGUUCCCUUAUCUUGGAGUCUGUCCUUCUGGUUUCUGUUGAAUGUUCUCACAAUUAAUAUCUAAGGACAGCUAUGCAGGGAGAGGGCAAGGGAUAGCCUCACUGAGAGAUCCCAAUUCCCUGGUCUCCUCUGCCAGCCACUUCUUUCCCACAGAGAAACUUCAGUGGGACAUCCAUGCCUGCUGUUGUAACUUUGACAGAUGCUGGACUGUGUUCCAGUGUCUGCCUGGAGCUGUAAACCAAAGUCUCCCCUCCCCCAGCCUGAAACCUGCUUGCU